GGUCAGGUAGAGAAUACCAAGGCGCUUGAGAGAACUCGGGUGAAGGAACUAGGCAAAAUGGUGCCGUAACUUCGGGAGAAGGCACGCUGACACGUAGGUGAAGUGAUUUACUCAUGGAGCUGAAGUCAGUCGAAGAUACCAGCUGGCUGCAACUGUUUAUUAAAAACACAGCACUGUGCAAACACGAAAGUGGACGUAUACGGUGUGACGCCUGCCCGGUGCCGGAAGGUUAAUUGAUGGGGUCAGCGCAAGCGAAGCUCCUGAUCGAAGCCCCGGUAAACGGCGGCCGUAACUAUAACGGUCCUAAGGUAGCGAAAUUCCUUGUCGGGUAAGUUCCGACCUGCACGAAUGGCGUAAUGAUGGCCAGGCUGUCUCCACCCGAGACUCAGUGAAAUUGAACUCGCUGUGAAGAUGCAGUGUACCCGCGGCAAGACGGAAAGACCCCGUGAACCUUUACUAUAGCUUGACACUGAACAUUGAGCCUUGAUGUGUAGGAUAGGUGGGAGGCUUUGAAGUGUGGACGCCAGUCUGCAUGGAGCCGACCUUGAAAUACCACCCUUUAAUGUUUGAUGUUCUAACGUGGACCCGUGAUCCGGGUUGCGGACAGUGUCUGGUGGGUAGUUUGACUGGGGCGGUCUCCUCCUAAAGAGUAACGGAGGAGCACGAAGGUUGGCUAAUCCUGGUCGGACAUCAGGAGGUUAGUGCAAUGGCAUAAGCCAGCUUGACUGCGAGCGUGACGGCGCGAGCAGGUGCGAAAGCAGGUCAUAGUGAUCCGGUGGUUCUGAAUGGAAGGGCCAUCGCUCAACGGAUAAAAGGUACUCCGGGGAUAACAGGCUGAUACCGCCCAAGAGUUCAUAUCGACGGCGGUGUUUGGCACCUCGAUGUCGGCUCAUCACAUCCUGGGGCUGAAGUAGGUCCCAAGGGUAUGGCUGUUCGCCAUUUAAAGUGGUACGCGAGCUGGGUUUAGAACGUCGUGAGACAGUUCGGUCCCUAUCUGCCGUGGGCGCUGGAGAACUGAGGGGGGCUGCUCCUAGUACGAGAGGACCGGAGUGGACGCAUCACUGGUGUUCGGGUUGUCAUGCCAAUGGCACUGCCCGGUAGCUAAAUGCGGAAGAGAUAAGUGCUGAAAGCAUCUAAGCACGAAACUUGCCCCGAGAUGAGUUCUCCCUGAGACUUUAGGUCUCCUGAAGGAACGUUGAAGACGACGACGUUGAUAGGCCGGGUGUGUAAGCGCAGCGAUGCGUUGAGCUAACCGGUACUAAUGAACCGUGAGGCUUAACCUUACA
rnacentral:rRNA from 2 species